UGGCAAUUAGCUCAGUUAGUUAGAGCGCGCUCCUGAUAAGAGCGAGGUGAUAGGUGCAAUUCCUAUAUUGCCAA
rfam:Oleiphilus sp. HI0009 HI0009_c631, whole genome shotgun sequence.